UAAUGGCCGACAUCUUGUCAACAAGCAGGACCAUCCAGGGAGAGAACAGGAAGUUGUGGAGGAUGGCCCGGAGAAGGAGAGGAUAAAACAGGGCCCGCACCAACCUGGCUUGGAUCCACCCAAGCAUCGAGGGGACACAGCGAGUCUUCUCGCUCGGCUCACGGAAUGGAGAAAAAGAUGCCAACAGCAUGGAGCUGCCCAGAGGCUGCAUCGAGGACCUGAGGAGAGCAAGACUAUGUGUAAGACAAGGACGGAUUCCCAAAGCAAGAUGUAUCUUAGCCGGUUGUAUCGGAUGUAUUCCACCUCCCUUGCUAACAUGGAAUUCUCCAGAAAGUAAGUUCCGCUCCCCUGUGAGACAGGGUCUUGGGAGUUCACUCUGCAGCCCAAACUCAAAAUCCCACUG
rnacentral:lncRNA from 1 species